rnacentral:rRNA from 1 species
UACGUAGGGUGCGAGCGUUAAUCGGAAUUACUGGGCGUAAAGCGUGCGCAGGCGGUUCGUUAAGUCAGCUGUGAAAGCCCCGGGCUCAACCUGGGAACGGCGGUUGAAACUGGCGAACUAGAAUCUGGCAGAGGGGGGUGGAAUUCCACGUGUAGCAGUGAAAUGCGUAGAGAUGUGGAGGAACACCGAUGGCGAAGGCAGCCCCCUGGGUCAAGAUUGACGCUCAUGCACGAAAGCGUGGGGAGCAAACAGG